AUGCUGCAACCGGCGACGAGGACGGCCUGCCAGGACGACCAGCAAGUGCGAGGACGACCCGUGACGAGGACAGCCUGCCAGGACCGCCGGCGACUGCGAGGACGACCGGCGACGAGGACGGCCUGCAAGGACUGCCGGCCAGGACGACCGGCGAAGAGGACCGCCGGCGAAGAUGACCGGCGAAGAGGACGACCGGUGACGAGGACGGCCUGCGAGGAUGGUGACCGGAGAGCAUGCGCAGCCGGCGAGAUACAAGGAAGCAACGAGAUGCAGGGAAUCUUUCAUACGCGUGCGUUUGAAGAAGGGCAUCGGACGGUUUAG
rnacentral:rRNA from 1 species